GAGUUUGAUCGUGGCUCAGAUUGAACGCUGGCGGCAUGCCUUACACAUGCAAGUCGAACGGCAGCAUGAUCUAGCUUGCUAGAUUGAUGGCGAGUGGCGAACGGGUGAGUAAUACAUCGGAACAUGCCCUGUAGUGGGGAUAACUAGUCGAAGGAUUAGCUAAUACCGCAUACGACCUGAGGGUGAAAGGUGGGGGACCGCAAGGCCUCAUGCUAUAGGAGCGGCCGAUGUCUGAUUAGC
rnacentral:rRNA from 1 species